rnacentral:rRNA from 1 species
AGUGAACGCUGGCGGUAGGCCUAACACAUGCAAGUCGAACGGCAGCACAGUAAGAGCUUGCUCUUACGGGUGGCGAGUGGCGGACGGGUGAGGAAUACAUCGGAAUCUACUUUUUCGUGGGGGAUAACGUAGGGAAACUUACGCUAAUACCGCAUACGACCUACGGGUGAAAGCAGGAGAUCUUCGGACCUUGCGCGAUUGAAUGAGCCGCGGUCGGAUUAGCUAGUUGGCGGGGUAAAGGCCCACCAAGGCGACGAUCCGUAGCUGGUCUGAGAGGAUGAUCGGCCACACUGGAACUGAGACACGGUCCAGACUCCUACGGGAGGCAGCAGUGGGGAAUAUUGGACAAUGGGCGCAAGCCUGAUCCAGCCAUACCGCGUGGGUGAAGAAGGCCUUCGGGUUGUAAAGCCCUUUUGUUGGGAAAGAAAAGCAGCAGGUUAAUACCCCGCUGUUCUGACGGUACCCAAAGAAUAAGCACCGGCUAACUUCGUG